GUGUCUUAUUCAAUCAUUUCACACAUCAUUAAUUAAUGAAUGAACGAUAGUGGUGACUAAGUCAAACUUUCAAAUAUCUGAGAGGAAAUAAACUACUAAAUUCUCUGAUCAAACUUAAAACGCAAAACAAAAAGGAAAGAUGAUAAGUUUACAUUCUUCGUAAUUUCAAUGCAUGAAGUCAUGAGCAAUCAUUUUCAUCUAUUUUAGCCAUCACCUUUU
rnacentral:lncRNA from 1 species